GACGAACGCUGGCGGCGUGCCUAAUACAUGCAAGUAGAACGCUGAAGAGAGGAGCUUGCUCUUCUUGGAUGAGUUGCGAACGGGUGAGUAACGCGUAGGUAACCUGCCUUGUAGCGGGGGAUAACUAUUGGAAACGAUAGCUAAUACCGCAUAACAAUGGAUGACACAUGUCAUUUAUUUGAAAGGGGCAAUUGCUCCACUACAAGAUGGACCUGCGUUGUAUUAGCUAGUAGGUGAGGUAACGGCUCACCUAGGCGACGAUACAUAGCCGACCUGAGAGGGUAAUCGGCCACACUGGGACUGAGACACGGCCCAGACUCCUACGGGAGGCAGCAGUAGGGAAUCUUCGGCAAUGGGGGCAACCCUGACCGAGCAACGCCGCGUGAGUGAAGAAGGUUUUCGGAUCGUAAAGCUCUGUUGUAAGUCAAGAACGAGUGUGAGAGUGGAAAGUUCACACUGUGACGGUAGCUUACCAGAAAGGGACGGCUAACUACGUG
rnacentral:rRNA from 1 species